CAGCAGCCACGGUAAUACGGAGGGUGCAAGCGUUAAUCGGAAUUACUGGGCGUAAAGCGUGCGUAGGCGGUUCGUUAAGUCUGUUGUGAAAGCCCCGGGCUCAACCUGGGAAUGGCAAUGGAUACUGGCGAGCUAGAGUGUGUCAGAGGAUGGUGGAAUUCCCGGUGUAGCGGUGGAAUGCGUAGAGAUCGGGAGGAACAUCAGUGGCGAAGGCGGCCAUCCUGGACAAAUACUGACGCUGAGGCGCGAAAGCGUGGGGAGCAAACAGGAUUAGAUACCCCUGUAGUCCCUGUCUCUUAUA
rnacentral:rRNA from 1 species